rnacentral:rRNA from 1 species
GCUCGUUGAAUGGGUCUAAGCAUGCGAGUCAUUGUAGCAAUACAAGGCGGACGGCUCAGUAACACGUAGUCAACCUAACUCGUGGACGUGGAUAACCUCGGGAAACUGAGAAUAAACCACGAUAGAUCAUAGUGCCUGGAAUGGCUUAUGGUCCAAACAGUUUACUGCCAUGGGAUGGGACUGCGGCCUAUCAGCUUGCUGGUGAGGUAAUGGCCCACCAAGGCGAUUACAGGUACGGGCUCUGAGAGGAGAAGCCCGGAGAUGGGUACUGAGACACGGACCCAGGCCCUAUGGGGCGCAGCAGGCGAGAAACCUUAGCAAUGUGCGAAAGCACGACUGGGUCAGUCCGAGUGAUUCCUGAUAAAGGAGUCUUUUGCUUGUCCUAAAAGCACAGGUGAAUAAGGGGUGGGCAGGUCUGGUGUCAGCCGCCGCGGUAAUACCAGCACCUCGAGUGGUCAGGACGUUUAUUGGGCCUAAAGCAUCCGUAGCCGGCGCUGCAAGUCUUCGGUUAAAUCCACCUGCUCAACAGAUGGGCUGCUGGAGAUACUACAGCGCUAGGGAGUGGGAGAGGCAGACGGUAUUCAGUGGGUAGGGGUAAAAUCCUCUGAUCCAUUGAGGACCACCAGUGGCGAAGGCGGUCUGCCAGAACACGUUCGACGGUGAGGGAUGAAAGCUGGGGGAGCAAACCGGAUUAGAUACCCGGGUAGUCCCAGCUGUGAACGAUGCAAACUCGGUGAUGCAUUGGCUUAUGGCCAAUGCAGUGCCGCAGGGAAGCCGUUAAGUUUGCCGCCUGGGGAAGUACGGACGCAAGUCUGAAACUUAAAGGAAUUGGCGGGGGAGCACCACAAGGGGUGAAGCCUGCGGUUCAAUUGGAGUCAACGCCGGG